rnacentral:piRNA from 1 species
UAGUAUUCAUAUGAGGAGCACAGAUGACAU